rnacentral:rRNA from 1 species
GACCCGGUGGUCAUGGCGAGGGCUCCUGCACCCGAUCCCAUCCCGAACUCGGCCGUGAAAUCCCUCAGCGCCAAUGGUACUGCGUCUUAAGACGUGGGAGAGUAGGUCGCCGCCGGGUC